CCUACGGGAGGCAGCAGUGAGGAAUAUUGGUCAAUGGGCGAGAGCCUGAACCAGCCAAGUAGCGUGAGGGAAGACGGUCCUAUGGAUUGUAAACCUCUUUUGUCGGGGAGCAAAAAGCGGUACGUGUACCGCAUCGAGAGUACCAGGAGAAAAAGCAUCGGCUAACUCCGUGCCAGCAGCCGCGGUAAUACGGAGGAUGCGAGCGUUAUCCGGAUUUAUUGGGUUUAAAGGGUGCGCAGGCGGCGAGUUAAGUCAGCGGUAAAAUUUCGGGGCUCAACCUCGACGAGCCGUUGAAACUGGGUGGCUAGAGUGGGCGAGAAGUAUGCGGAAUGCGUGGUGUAGCGGUGAAAUGCAUAGAUAUCACGCAGAACUCCGAUUGCGAAGGCAGCAUACCGGCGCCCAACUGACGCUCAGGCACGAAAGUGUGGGUAUCGAACAGGAUUAGAUACCCGAGUAGUC
rnacentral:rRNA from 1 species